AAGCCCCGGCACCCUUCUUGGGUGCGUCUCCAAAUUUGCACUUUGG
rnacentral:tRNA from 1 species